rnacentral:sRNA from 1 species
GAUAUCGAGAUUCUCGUGUCCACCGACGAUGACAGCAGCGAAGGGAAAGAGCCAGCUAAGAAA